GUGAUUAAGGCUGUGUUCUUCAUUGCUUAAAGAUGGGCUUUUACCUGGAAAACUGCUUUUCUUUGAAAAGAAAUAAAGAACAGCAUUCAUUUAGUAGCAAAUUCUCAACUUAUUAGAAGUAAAUUUUUUUAGCUUUUCAGCCCAGAAGUGCUUUUGGGCUGGUUGUUUUACUUUUUUAGCUACACGAACACCCUUCUUCGCUCUCUGCUCUCUGCUGGUUCUUUGUUUCUCUGCUCUCUGCUACGCUGGUUCUUUGCCCUCUGCUGGUUUGUUCUGCCCUCUGCUGGUUCUUUGUUCCUCUGCCCUCUACCGAAUAAGACUAUUGGCAAGAUUAGUGAACUGAGGCAGGCCAAUGGGGACCUUGCAAACAAAGUUAACAUACUGCAGAAGAGUAGAUUUGACAUGGUUGAGGAACCAGUGUACCAACGUUGGCUUAAUGUUUGCUUGAGGGCUGAAAUCAAAGAAUAUCAAACAUCAUCAAGAAAGACAUCGGAAAAAGGAAGUUCAGAAGGCUUCAGACCAGAAAACUAGCAAGAUAAUUACACAAUACCCCGACACGAGCAGCACUUGGUCAUAUACCACAUUGACUGAUAGUGAAGAGAUAGAUAGUAGCACCAUUGAUAGCUCUUCAAGUAGCCAGAGAAGCAUUAGCAAGAAUUCUAGCACAUGUUGGAGAAGCAUGGAUGACGGUUCUAGUGUUGUUUCAUCACCAAACAAGUCCUCCACUGGAAGUCCUGCGGACAGAACUGGCAUCAUACGCAGGUUUUCUACUUCAAUGUUUCCUUCAAAGGAACUUACUGAAACUAUGGAAUUGCCAAAUCUUACAAAAGUAAGGCGAGUUAUGUAAUAUUUGAUAUAUAAAUAUUAUCCCUUUUUAAAACUUCAAUCCAAAUAUAUGUAAUAUUUUAAUUUAUUA